rnacentral:rRNA from 1 species
CGAUCGUGAAAGCCCGGGGCUCAACCCCGGGAGGCCGGUCGAAACUGUUGUGACUAGAGUUCGGUAGAGGUGAGUGGAAUUCUCGGUGUAGCGGUGGUAUGCGCAGAUAUCGAGCGGAACACCAUUAGCGAAGGCGGCUCACUGGGCCGAUACUGACGCUGAGGAGCGAAAGCGUGGGGAGCAAACAGGAUUAGAAACCCUGGUAGUCCACGCCGUAAACGAUGAACACUAGGUGUAGCGGACUGAUUCACGUCUGCUGUGCCGUAGCUAACGCAUUAAGUGUUCCGCCUGGGGAGUACGGCCGCAAGGCUAAAACUCAAAGGAAUUGACGGGGCCCCGCACAAGCGGCGGAGCAUGCGGCUUAAUUCGAUGCAACCCGAAGAACCUUACCUGGGUUUGACAUCAUGGGAUCUAGCUGUGGAAACACAGUGUGCUUACGCGCCCAUGACAGGUGGUGCAUGGCUGUCGUCAGCUCGUGUCGUGAGAUGUUGGGUUAAGUCCCGCAACGAGCGCAACCCUUGUCCUAUGUUGCCAGCACGUAAUGGUGGGGACUCAUGGGAGACUGCCGGGACAACUCGGAGGAAGGCGAGGACGAUGUCAAGUCAUCAUGCCCCUUAUAUCCAGGGCUGCACGCAUGCUACAAUGGGCGAUACAAUGGGCUGCGAUCCCGCGAGGGUUAGCCAAUCCCGUAAAGUCGUCCUCAGUUCGGAUUGGAGUCUGCAACUCGACUCCAUGAAGCCGGAGUCGCUAGUAAUCGUGGAUCAGCAAAGCCACGGUGAAUACGUUCUCGGGGCUUG